GACGAACGCUGGCGGCGUGCUUAACACAUGCAAGUCGAACGGAGCUGUUUAUUUCGGUAGAUAGCUUAGUGGCAAACGGGUGAGUAACGCGUAGGCAACCUGCCCUUAGGAUGGGGACAACGGCCCGAAAGGACCGCUAAUACCGAAUGGACUCUAACUUUCGCAUGAAAGAAAGAGGAAAGAUGGUGCAAGCCAUCGCCGAAGGAAGGGCCUGCGUCUGAUUAGCCAGUUGGUGAGGUAACGGCUCACCAAAGCGACGAUCAGUAGCCGGUCUGAGAGGAUGAACGGCCACAAUGGGACUGAGACACGGCCCAUACUCCUACGGGAGGCAGCAGUGGGGAAUCUUCCGCAAUGGGCGAAAGCCUGACGGAGCAACGCCGCGUGAGUGAAGAAGGUCUUCGGAUCGUAAAGCUCUGUUGUUGGGGACGAAAGGGAAGGGGAGGAAAUGCCCUUUUUAAGACGGUACCCGACGAGCAAGCCACGGCU
rnacentral:rRNA from 1 species